UAAAUUCCUUGCAGUCAACGAUUGCAAAUUGCAUGGUAAUAUCAGGGUUUGAUUCUAUCUGGUGCACUUCCGAUGCUCCAAGAACAAGUAAGCUGAUGGAUUCUGAUAACCUUACCACAUCAACUCCAGUUCGACUAUUCCAGGCUUCCGGUAGUACUUCUUUCGACAUGCUGAAUUGCUGGUAGAGCUGCAACUUUCUUUAGCUCAUUGUUUUGGGUAACUGAAUCGGAUGGGGAUGAGCGACUACAUUGUGAGAAGAGCCCUUGUGAUCAUGCACCACCAGAGGGACGAGGUGGAGUUCCAGAGGGAGCACCAUGUGAUUGUCCGCAAGGCUUGAGCUCAACCGAACCAACGGAACUACUAUGGAGUCCUUCCUCCUAUUUUCUGCUAAUCUGAUGUGUGUAUAAGUAGUGCUAAGACUGCAGCCUGUUUCUGGAGGAAAUUUGUUGCAUCGUUGAAAUUGAGUUGUAGUUGUACUACUUUUAAGCUGCAGUUGUAGCCCUAAAUUAUCUUAAUUUGCAAUUUACUUGAUCAGCUCGUGCACACAAUCAUGUUCCCACUAUGAUGUUUGAAGUUCACAAUUAGCAGUUCUGUUGAAGCUAACUCAUUGAUUUACAGGGAUGGAAGAUUUGUGGUCUGAUGGACGUAAUUAGCAAACAAUUGGAUCAGGUUUCAGAAAGUGUUUAUUUUAUGGGAACGCUUUGAAUUGCUUGGAUUAUGGCGACAAGAGUUCUUUGCUGAUUGCUUCUGGUGGUUUUGACCUGUACUAAGGGUAUGGGAUCCCUGCAAACCUGGAACAACAACUCCUAUUUUUCCAGUUCUCUUCACACUCAAGCUUAUCUCCUCCUGCAAAUGGCAUCCAAAUUACUGGUUUCAUUUGAUAUGAACUUCGCUUCAUGAGAAAUUGGUGUUGUGGGAUCUAAGAACAGCUGUAAAAUUCUGUUAAUCUCAAUUACUCCCUGAUUCAUUGUCUUCCUCUCAAAUCAUUGCGUAAACAGACAAUUAAUGAUUUCGCUUGGAUUUUGUGCAAGUUUCCUUGAGAUUUAGAAUUUUAGUCGAGGAGUCUUGGCUUCUUGUUGGUCUUUGCAUUUUCUGGAUGCUUGAAUUUAGAAAAUGUAGUCUCUGCACUCUCUAUAUGUAUCGUCCAUGACAGCAGUCAUCUAAGAUGUAAGACCGUGACUUCUGUGUUCAUGUAAGACCACUAAUAAUAUCUCUGAUUUAUUGUAUCACCGUUGACCUUGCAGUUCUGUCACACAUAGUUCUCUACCGAGCUGGUACAUUAAAUAUUGUAUGAACAUGUCUCUCUAUUUCCAGUUUUCUGUCUCUUCUUUUAGCUCUAUGCUCAUAUGGAUACAUUCCAUUUAAGUCGUUGAUAUACUAUGACCUCCAUUAGAGACUGUUCAUUUUAUCUGCUGUGUUCCUUUAUUUUUUUUCCAUCUUAGUUUACUUCCUGUUAUUGACAUUUCUUACUCAGGGACACCAGGUCGAAGAUGAACCCUGCAACUACAUUAUUCGUGGCACACCUGACGGUGUCAAGUACUUUGGCGAGCAGGAGAAACAUUGCUUCUGGGGCAAUGAAGUGAAGCUCUAUGAACAUCAUGUGGAUAAACUCUUCGCAAUGUUUUGGCACAAGAAGCCAAAGAUCAAGUACUAUGUCUGCACCAUUUGCCAAACCAGGCCAGCGCACGCUUACCGGCGCAGGCGGAGAAGGAGCCGGAGUGCCGCCACGCGCCGGAGAAGGAGG